rnacentral:rRNA from 1 species
AGCGAACGCUGGCGGCAUGCUUAACACAUGCAAGUCGCACGCCCAGCAAUGGGAGUGGCGGACGGGUGAGUAACGCGUAGGAAUGUAUCUAGAGGUGGGGGACAACCCUGGGAAACUGGGGCUAAUACCGCAUAUGUCCUGAGGGACAAAGCCGUGAGGCGCCUUUGGAGCAGCCUGCGUCCGAUUAGGUAGUUGGUGGGGUAACGGCCUACCAAGCCUGCGAUCGGCAGCUGGUCUGAGAGGACGACCAGCCACACUGGGACUGAGACGCGGCCCAGACUCCUACGGGAGGCAGCAGCGGGGAAUAUUGGACAAUGGGCGCAAGCCUGAUCCAGCAAUGCCGCGUGGAUGAAGAAGGCCUUAGGGUUGUAAAGUCCUUUUAACGGGGAAGAUAAUGACGGUACCCGUAGAAUAAGCCCCGGCUAACUUCGUGCCAGCCGCCGCGGUAACAC